GUCAUACUUUUAUAAUAGAAAUGGUUAUUUGUUAAGUAACGUAUUAUGCUUUUUGGUGAAAUAACUCGCUCUCACCUUCCCUGACGUAUGAUUACCAAAUAUUGAUUAUAAACAAGGAUUAGAUACCCUUUUAUACAAUGCACAAUAAACUUUUCUGAGCACUAAAACCCUCUAGGUUAAAACUUAAAUAACAUGGCGGUAAUCUUGGCUCUUAGGGGAACUUACCAUAUAAUUGAUAACCACCAAGUUAAAUUAACUUAAAAAAAUUCUUGUAUGCCGUCGUCGUCAGAUAAUAUUUGAUAUUUUAUCAUGAUUCAAUAAAAAGACAGAUCAAGGUGCAGACAAUUUUUAAGUAUCGGCGAGUUACAAUUAAAAGCUAGCGGACACCCUUUCGUACAAAGGAGUUAAAGUAGGACUUAACAGUAGUGUAUAUUAUAUUUAUUACACGAAAUCACCAAGAUUKGUGUACAA
rnacentral:rRNA from 1 species